rnacentral:lncRNA from 1 species
CGACUCUAUCUCCACCUCAACCUCACUAUAUCUUUAUGGGCAUUUGGCUUCAUCUUCCUUAAUCAUUUGAUGUACUCUCGAUCCUUAGUCUUCAUCAAAAUCUGUUCUUAGGAGGUGUUGAGAGGAAUAUAUCUAUUGAACCUCUGUAGAAGACUCCUAGAUCGCUGAGAGUUCCUCUCAUUUUUUCUGGGCUUCUUGCAAGGCUCAUCCAAAUCAUCUCUAUUCCUUUUAUUUUUGUCUUUAUUUCCAGCCUUCUCCUUUUGCCAUGUUGUCAUAGCAUCUUCAGCAUUGAUAUGCUUGUCUUUUCAAGCCAAGAGCUUGGCAUAGUCUCUAGAGAACCUCUUCUUCAGGAAAAAGAAUAAGAUGCAUGACUUUAGCCCUCUC